rnacentral:tRNA from 1 species
UGGGGAGUGGCCAAGCGGUAAGGCUCCUGACUCUGGAUCAGGUAAUCGGUGGUUCGAAUCCACCCUCCCCAGCCC